GUAAUUGACGAAGCCCUUUGUGGGGGCUAUCCCAUGAUGCUCUGCCUGCCACAGGCUUCCUUAGCCUGCCUCAGUAUCCAUCUUGCUAUCCUGGGGGCCUCAUCACAGUUGCGGUUUGUUAAAUAAGAGAUAUCCUGUUCUCCCAGCAGGAACUGAGGGCAGUUUCAGAACCCCUUACUGUUUGCUGUGGGGUUUGAAUGAGAAAUACCCACCCGGCCCCCACAGUCUUGGGUAUUUAAACCCUCGGUCACCAGUUGGUAGUGCUGUUUAGAGAUAUUUAAGGUGCUCCUCUCUAGAGGAAGCUUGUCGCUGGAGGUGGGCUUUGAAAUUUGACACUUUGUAUUACUUCCGGGGUCAUUCUCUCUGCCUUGUGCUUAAGGUCCAGGGUGCAAACUCUCUUGGCUUUCUCCUCAGCAGCUAUGCUUGCCGCUAUAACAUCUAGUCCUGAUGGAUUCAUGCCCCGGGCAUCAUAAACCCACAAGAAACCCUUCUUUCUCUAAGUUGUCUUGAUCAUGGUAUUUUAUCUCAAGACCAGAAAAGUAAUUAAAUAAAAACAUUAGCUAAACAGCCUUUCAGUGUGGGCUGGUGGGAUCUGACAUAAUGCAUGGGUGCCCCACUCCACCAUAACGAGUGGUUUUCUUCCACUAAAAGCACAUGAUAGUGAGAUGUUUUUUUUAAAAAAGCCAGGACUACAAAAUACUGGAUCCGAAUUGACAGCACACCGGCAGCCCAGCAGCUCCGUCUUCUUCCCCACGUGUGGCUGUCGAUUGGCGGUUUUUUUCUCCCUAAUUACCCAUCUGCUAGAGAGGAAAGUAACACCACAUCAUUUAGAAGAAAUGCACCUGUUUAUCGAAAGGCAAGAAUAACCUAGUUUGCAAGGAUCCUUGGCUCUCCAACUUGCCUCCACAGACUCAAUAUCACUGCUGUUUUUCCAGGUGAUCAAAUGACUCUGACUCCAGACUUUCCAAAUCCGUCGUUCAACCUUCAUCUAUCAUUCCCUGCACGUGCUUUACAGCACGAGAGAGGGUUAUAUCACUGAGCAGGCCAGUUCUUCCUUUGAAGUUCUGAGUGUGAACCAGAGCCAUCUUUGUAUUUACUUAGAGAACCGAGGGAGGCCGAAACCCACAGAAGCUGGAGAAACUUUUGAUAUGCGCUGUCAUCAGGAAAGAAACUCUUUCAGGUCUGGUUCCACCACAUCCUGCAAAGUUCAAAACGACAUCGUGCGAAGUUCAAAACGAAUUCUACUUCAGUCUUAUCUCUAGCCUAAGAUACGUAAUUGUAAUUCAUCAAAAAAUAUCAACGGAGUUCUUGAUUGCCAGAAAGCCGUGACUCCUCUGCUGGGGAAGUGUAGGAAUUUUUGCACUUUGCAUCCUACUGAAAUUCUAAGCAGCUUUUGCUGCCACCGUUAAGUGAGGGUCACUUCCUACCUGGAGAACCAGAAAGAUUGGAAACGUCUUGAGGCAGCCGGCCAUUUCAGGAAGCCUGCUGCAGACUGUUUUGAGCCAUGUCCACUGACAUUAGUGCUACUUUGAGAGCUGCCCCCGAGGUACUGCCUAGAAAUUUCAGAGACCCUCCUUUCUGCCAGAACAAUUUCAUCGAGAUGAAAUCGAAAUCUGGCUUGAUACUGAGAAGGACAUUUGCGCUUAAUGCCCGUGGAAAAUUCUGUGUUCGCGCACCUAACGGAGCAUAAGAGUUUAUUUUCCGAUCAGCUGCAGAAGUGACAUGGCACUGCCAGCCAAGAUCAGCAGAGACGUGACAUUUACGGGUGGACUGGGAGCAUCUGACAAGGUGGCGCACACCUGCAAUCUCAGAACCUUGGAGGAGGAAGCAACUACAUCCCUGAGAGUCGGUGGACAGUCUGAUCUCCGGGCCAAAUUAGCUUCCCACAUGCUUUUUGCUUGGGAACUGAAACCAGUUUUUCUAAUUAAUGAUUAAUUAAUUUUGUGCUGUGAAGGAUUAGAUACAAGGUCUCAGACUACCACAAAAGCAUUCUACUGCUGGUCUAUAUCCUCUGCCCUUGAUUAUUUUUUAUUUUAAAACAUUUAUUUACUUUAUUGUGUGUGUAUGUGUUGGCCUGCAUGUAUGUAUAGCAUUGAACUUGUUUCUUCCUCAGCCAUCCCAAGUACUGGGUAUACAGACAUGUACCGUCAUGAACAUGUUUUUUAAUGUUAUGAACCCUUCUGUGUACACUUGAUAAAGGCUUGGCAUAGGAGGGAGAAGAGGAGGAAAACCAGUAGUUUUAAGGACAGACAUGUGGGCAUGGGAUGGUUCAGUUCACUCAUGAGAUGCCAUCUUGUGGAUAUGGCAUGGUCAUGAACUCACAGUAGCUGUUAUUUCUGCACAAGAUAUCAACAAGUCCAAGCUGUUCAGAAUUUCAACAUGGAUGUGGUGGGGCAUGAUCCCUGCCCUUGUCAGAGAAGCUAUUAGCAUGGGUAGCCAUGUGGGAAGGAAAAUCAGUCUUCUCUGAAAGUAUGGGCACUGGUACUUUGCCGGUGCUCCAGAGGAUGGGCUCACACCCGUGUACACACGAGCAUCACUAAUUGAGUUUAUGAGUUUUUAACAAAAAAAAAAAAAAAGAAAAAAGAAAAAAGAGGACAUGAAGUUGGA
rnacentral:sRNA from 1 species